rnacentral:SRP_RNA from 1 species
AGAGCAACAAAUAAUAUCUUAUAAAUCCGGUCAGAUCUGGAAGGAAGCAGCCGUAGUAAGUAAUUUUGGUGCAAUAAU